UUUCCGUAGGUGAACCUGCGGAGGGAUCAUUACAGGACUCGCAAGACUCCUACAACCCUGUGAACUUAACUAUAAGCACGUUGCUUCGGCGGGUGUCUCGGAGGGGGUUCUCCCUCCCCGAGACGCUAAACCCGCCGGCAGCCUACUAUACUCUGUCUCUUUGCGUUGGCAUCUCGAGUACAAUCAAACAAGUUAAAACUUUCAACAACGGAUCUCUUGGUUCUG
rnacentral:misc_RNA from 1 species